rnacentral:rRNA from 1 species
UGAUGAACGCUAGCUACAGGCUUAACACAUGCAAGUCGAGGGGCAGCAUGGUCUUAGCUUGCUAAGGCCGAUGGCGACCGGCGCACGGGUGAGUAACACGUAUCCAACCUGCCGUCUACUCUUGGACAGCCUUCUGAAAGGAAGAUUAAUACAAGAUGGCAUCAUGAGUCCGCAUGUUCACAUGAUUAAAGGUAUUCCGGUAGACGAUGGGGAUGCGUUCCAUUAGAUAGUAGGCGGGGUAACGGCCCACCUAGUCUUCGAUGGAUAGGGGUUCUGAGAGGAAGGUCCCCCACAUUGGAACUGAGACACGGUCCAAACUCCUACGGGAGGCAGCAGUGAGGAAUAUUGGUCAAUGGGCGAGAGCCUGAACCAGCCAAGUAGCGUGAAGGAUGACUGCCCUAUGGGUUGUAAACUUCUUUUAUAAAGGAAUAAAGUCGGGUAUGGAUACCCGUUUGCAUGUACUUUAUGAAUAAGGAUCGGCUAACUCCGUGCCAGCAGCCGCGGUAAUACGGAGGAUCCGAGCGUUAUCCGGAUUUAUUGGGUUUAAAGGGAGCGUAGAUGGAUGUUUAAGUCAGUUGUGAAAGUUUGCGGCUCAACCGUAAAAUUGCAGUUGAUACUGGAUAUCUUGAGUGCAGUUGAGGCAGGCGGAAUUCGUGGUGUAGCGGUGAAAUGCUUAGAUAUCACGAAGAACUCCGAUUGCGAAGGCAGCCUGCUAAGCUGCAACUGACAUUGAGGCUCGAAAGUGUGGGUAUCAAACAGGAUUAGAUACCCUGGUAGUCCGCACGGUAAACGAUGAAUACUCGCUGUUUGCGAUAUACUGCAAGCGGCCAAGCGAAAGCGUUAAGUAUUCCACCUGGGGAGUACGCCGGCAACGGUGAAACUCAAAGGAAUUGACGGGGGCCCGCACAAGCGGGGGAACAUGUGGUUUAAUUCGAUGAUACGCGAGGAACCUUACCCGGGCUUAAAUUGCAGAUGAAUUACGGUGAAAGCCGUAAGCCGCAAGGCAUCUGUGAAGGUGCUGCAUGGUUGUCGUCAGCUCGUGCCGUGAGGUGUCGGCUUAAGUGCCAUAACGAGCGCAACCCUUGUUGUCAGUUACUAACAGGUUCCGCUGAGGACUCUGACAAGACUGCCAUCGUAAGAUGUGAGGAAGGUGGGGAUGACGUCAAAUCAGCACGGCCCUUACGUCCGGGGCUACACACGUGUUACAAUGGGGGGUACAGAGGGCCGCUACCACGCGAGUGGAUGCCAAUCCCCAAAACCUCUCUCAGUUCGGACUGGAGUCUGCAACCCGACUCCACGAAGCUGGAUUCGCUAGUAAUCGCGCAUCAGCCACGGCGCGGUGAAUACGUUCCCGGGCCUUGUACACACCGCCCGUCAAGCCAUGGGAGCCGGGGGUACCUGAAGUGCGUAACCGCGAGGAGCGCCCUAGGGUA